CAAUAGCGUAUAUUAAAGUUGUUGCAGUUAAAAAGCUCGUAGUUGGAUUUCUGGUGGGAGCGAUCGGUCUGGCGCUUAGCGCGAGUACUUGCAUCGUCUCCGGCCAUCCUUGGGGAGAGUCUGUCUGGCAUUAGGUUGUCGGGCAGAGGAUCCUCAUCGUUUACUGUGAAAAAAUUAGAGUGUUCAAAGCAGGCUUAUGCCGUUGAAUAUAUUAGCAUGGAAUAAUAAGAUAGGACUUUGGUACUAUUUUGUUGGUUUGCGCACCAAAGUAAUGAUUAAUGGGGACAGUUGGGGGUAUUCGUAUUCCGUUGUCAGAGGUGAAAUUCUUGGAUUUACGGAAGACGAACUACUGCGAAAGCAUUUACCAAGGAUGUUUCCAUUAA
rnacentral:rRNA from 1 species